CGGAGGGUGCAAGCGUUAUCCGGAUUUACUGGGUUUAAAGGGUGUGUAGGCGGGUCUUUAAGUCAGUGGUGAAAUCUCCGAGCUUAACUUGGAAACUGCCAUUGAUACUAUUGAUCUUGAAUUCUGUUGAGGUGGGCGGAAUAUGUCAUGUAGCGGUGAAAUGCAUAGAUAUGACAUAGAACACCAAUUGCGAAGGCAGCUCACUAAGCAGAUAUUGACGCUGAGGCACGAAAGCGUGGGGAUCAAACAGGAUUAGAUACCCUGGUAGUCCACGCCCUAAACGAUGAUUACUCGACAUACGCGAUACACAGUGUGUGUCUGAGCGAAAGCAUUAAGUAAUCCACCUGGGAAGUACGACCGCAAGGUUG
rnacentral:rRNA from 1 species